AGAGUUUGAUCCUGGCUCAGAUUGAACGUUGGCGGCAGGCCUUAAACAUGCAAGUCGAGCGGAAACGAUGGGAGCUUGCUCCCAGGCGUCGAGCGGCGGACGGGUGAGUAACGCGUAGGAAUCUACCCAGUAGCGGGGGAUAGCCCGAGGAAACUCGGAUUAAUACCGCAUACGCCCCACGGGGGAAAGGCCGGGACCUCUUCGGAGACCGGUCACUAUUGGAGGAGCCUGCGUUGGAUUAGCUAGUUGGUAGGGUAAAGGCCUACCAAGGCAACGAUCCAUAGCUGGUCUGAGAGGACGAUCAGCCACACUGGAACUGAGACACGGUCCAGACUCCUACGGGAGGCAGCAGUUGGGAAUAUUGUGCAAUGGGGGAAACCCUGACACAGCCAUGCCGCGUGUGUGAAGAAGGCUCUAGGGUUGUAAAGCACUUUCAGUAGGGAGGAAAUAGCCGUAUUAAUACCACGGUUAUAUGACGUUACCUACAGAAGAAGAUCCGGCUAACUCCGUGCCAGCAGCCGCGGUAAUACGGAGGGAUCGAACGUUAAUCGGAAUUACUGGGCGUAAAGCGCGCGUAGGUGGUUCAUUAAGUGGGAUGUGAAAGCCCCGGGCUUAACCUGGGAAUUGCAUUCCAAACUGAUAAACUAGAGUACGAUAGAGGGGGGUAGAAUUCAGAGUGUAGCGGUGAAAUGCGUAGAUAUUCUGAGGAAUACCGGUGGCGAAGGCGGCCCCCUGGAUUGAUACUGACACUGAGGUGCGAAAGCGUGGGGAGCAAACAGGAUUAGAUACCCUGGUAGUCCACGCCGUAAACGAUGUCUACUAGCCGUUGGGAGGCUUGACCUCUUAGUGGCGAAGCUAACGCGAUAAGUAGACCGCCUGGGGAGUACGGUCGCAAGAUUAAAACUCAGAUGAAUUGACGGGGGCCCGCACAAGCGGU
rnacentral:rRNA from 1 species